UUGAUAAAUACAUAUUUUCACAUUAAUAUUUUAAUUUUGCCUUAAUUCAUUGAAUGGAUUGAUUAUAUUUUUAUUGCAAUCAUGAACAAAUUUGGUAGCAAAUUAACACUAUACAGUAUACCCUAUAAAAGAUGUAGACAGGUACACAGUAGCUUAUAUUAAAAUUUGCUUCAUAAUAAUAAGCACACCAUUCACAAUAAACAUUUUGAUUGAAAAAUAUAUAAUUCUGUUACAAAAAUGAGCUCAACAAUUUCACUAUUU